rnacentral:rRNA from 1 species
ACUCCUACGGGAGGCAGCAGUGAGGGAUAUUGCACAAUGGGGGAAACCCUGAUGCAGCGACGCCGCGUGGGUGAUGAAGGCUUUCGGGUCGUAAAACCCUUUUUGGCAUGACGAGAACGGACGGUAGUGCCAGAAUAAGUCUCGGCUAACUACGUGCCAGCAGCCGCGGUAAAACGUAGGAGGCAAGCGUUAUCCGGAGUUACUGGGCGUAAAGGGUGCGUAGGCGGCUCAUCAAGUGGGACGUGAAAGCUCACGGCUAAACUGUGAGAGGACGACUCAGACUGAAGGGCUAGAGGGUGUCAGAGGCGUGCGGAAUUCGGGGUGUAGCGGUGAAAUGUGUAGAGAUCCCGAGGAACACCAGUGGUGCAAACGGCGCGCUGGGACACAACUGACGCUGAAGCACGAAAGCGUGGGGAGCGAACGGGAUUAGAGACCCCGGUAGUCCACGCCGUAAACGAUGUCAACUAGGUGUCUGCAAGGGGAAACCUGAGUGGGUGUCAAAGCUAACGCGAUAAGUUGACCGCCUGGGGAGUACGGUCGCAAGGCUAAAACUCAAAGGAAUUGACGGGGGCCCGCACAAGCAGCGGAGCGUGUGGUUUAAUUCGAGGCUACGCGAAGAACCUUACCUGGGUUUGACAUCACGGUGGUAGGGCGAC